rnacentral:rRNA from 1 species
UACGUAGGGAGCAAGCGUUGUCCGGAAUCAUUGGGCGUAAAGAGCGCGUAGGCGGUCCGGUAAGUCGGCUGUGAAAACUGGGGGCUCAACCCUCAGACGCCGACCGAUACUGUCGGGCUAGAGUCCGGAAGAGGCGAGUGGAAUUCCUGGUGUAGCGGUGAAAUGCGCAGAUAUCAGGAGGAACACCAAUGGCGAAAGCACUCUGCUGGGCCGACACUGACACUGAGAGACGAAAGCUAGGGGAGCGAAUGGG